rnacentral:rRNA from 1 species
AGAGUUUGAUCCUGGCUCAGGAUGAACGCUGGCGGCGUGCCUAAUACAUGCAAGUCGAACGGAGGGUAGCAAUACCCUCAGUGGCGAACGGGUGAGUAACGCGUUGGUACCUGCCCCGAAGUGAGGGAUAACGGGACGAAAGUCUCGCUAAUACCCCAUGUGCUCCGCAAGGAGUAAAGGAGAAAUCCGCUUUGGGAGGGGCCUGCGUCCCAUCAGCUAGUUGGUAAGGUAACGGCUUACCAAGGCGAUGACGGGUAGGGGACCUGAGAGGGUGAACCCCCACAAUGGAACUGAAACACGGUCCAUACACCUACGGGUGGCAGCAGUAGGGAAUAUUGGUAAUGGGCGCAAGCCUGAACCAGCAACGCCGCGUGUGCGAUGAAGGCCUUCGGGUUGUAAAGCACUUUUUGUCGGGACGAGGAAGGACGGUACCGGCAGAAUAAGCCUCGGCUAACUACGUGCCAGCAGCCGCGGUAAAACGUAGGAGGCGAGCGUUAUCCGGAUUUACUGGGUGUAAAGCGCAUGCAGGCGGUUCGCUAAGUUGGAUGUGAAAGCUCCUGGCUUAACUGGGAGAGGUCGUUCAAGACUGACGAACUAGAGGAUAGUAAGGGAAAGCGGAAUUCCGGGUGUAGUGGUGAAAUGCGUAGAUAUCCGGAGGAACACCAGUGGCGAAGGCGGCUUUCUGGACCAUGACUGACGCUCAGAUGCGAAAGCUAGGGUAGCAAACGGGAUUAGAGACCCCGGUAGUCCUAGCCGUAAACGAUGUGAACUUGGCGGUGGAUGGGUAAAACCGAUCACUGCCGCAGCUAACGCGAUAAGUUCACCACCUGGGGACUACGGCCGCAAGGUUAAAACUCAAAGGAAUUGACGG